AGUGAACGCUGGCGGUAGGCCUAACACAUGCAAGUCGAACGGCAGCACAGUAAGAGCUUGCUCUUACGGGUGGCGAGUGGCGGACGGGUGAGGAAUAAAUCGGCAUCUACUUUUUCGUGGGGGAUAACGUAGGGAAACUUACGCUAAUACCGCAUACGACCUACGGGUGAAAGCAGGGGAUCUUCGGACCUUGCGCGAUUGAAUGAGCCGAUGUCGGAUUAGCUAGUUGGCGGGGUAAAGGCCCACCAAGGCGACGAUCCGUAGCUGGUCUGAGAGGAUGAUCAGCCACACUGGAACUGAGACACGGUCCAGACUCCUACGGGAGGCAGCAGUGGGGAAUAUUGGACAAUGGGCGCAAGCCUGAUCCAGCCAUACCGCGUGGGUGAAGAAGGCCUUCGGGUUGUAAAGCCCUUUUGUUGGGAAAGAAAAGCAGCAGGUUAAUACCCCGCUGUUCUGACGGUACCCAAAGAAUAAGCACCGGCUAACUUCGUG
rnacentral:rRNA from 1 species